CUAUGCGAUUCUUGGAGUGCCUCUGUGUCUAGAGCUCUACAUUUUGUAUCUAAAAUAAUUGUGGAAAUUAAGGGCAGUGAAAUUUAUUUCCCUUCAAGUGCGCAGGUUGUUUCGGAUACAAAGAGAGGAUUUUACACGAAAUUUGGGAUCAAGGGCACAAUCGGCGUAAACUAUUGUACACAUGUUGGGAUUGUUCCACCCCCGAGCACAGACGCCACCACUCCCCUCUUACUUUUUACGAAUCGGUAAGGAUUUUACAGCCUUUAUGUAGAAGCGGUAUGUAAUGUUCUGUAUUAUCCCAACUAUUUCCUAAUGUUUCUGUUUAUGCAUAUGUAUUUAUUUGCAUUUUUGACAGGUUUGUGAUCAUCGACUUCUGUUCACCGCUGUCAACACGAGAUAUCCCGGGUCUUGUCACGAUUCUGGUACUUGAACCACAUUCCCAACACGUAUACACCUCAUAAGUACAUACAUAUAACAUACAAAUUGAUUCGUGGUUGUUAGGUGACCAAGGAUAUCGAAUGCAGAGUAUCGGGUGAAAGAGGAGGUUCUCCAGAGCAGGAAUAUAUAUAAAUAUUCUUGAUCGGACUUAUAGGGUUAGGUUAGGUUGUUAACUGGCUGUCAAACGACGCACCUAGGCCUUUGGGAGGCCCAUUGUGAUACCACUGGGACUGAGAUCCCUCACACUAUCGAGUCAUCAUUGAACCACCCAGUGCACAGUGAUUGCGCCCAUAGGACAAAAUUCAAAAAAUUCAUAACAACAAAAAUUUCCGAAAAGUUACCAAAUCGUCUCUAAAAUGUCCAAGCUUCUUCAUGGCAAACCGGUUUUUACUUCAAAUCUAACGGGACAUUCUAAAAAUAGAAUGCAAAGCGUGAUCAAUUGUUCAAUUUUGCAGCGAAACUGCGCUAAGUUAGCUUUUUGUGAAAACAAAAUUGAAUUUCAAAGUGGUCAAACGUUUGCUAGAGAGGUCCGAUUUUGAUUAUUUAAAAAGAAUUUUAUUGUUGCAGGUAUUACUUUAAUAAAUUCAUCUUGUGAAAUUAAUUUUAUUGAUUUAUUAUUUGUUGUGUAUUUUUGAUUGAUUAUACUUUUUUUGUGUAUUUUUUUAACGUAAUUUUCAUGUUUAAAUAGACAUUUAGUUAUGUUACCCCACGAUCCCCCCUUUAUGAGUGUUAUCAGUGUAUUUGUCAAAGUUUUAAGGUAAUACAAAUGUUAGGUGUAGCUGCCGAUAUUUGCCCAUAUGUUUAUAUUCGUGAAUAAACUUAAGCUGUCGUCUUACUGUUGCUCAAAUUUGGUUUGGUAGAACAAAGCAUUAAAAAAAAGGCUACGCAGUAGAGAUGAGAAAAUUUAACAUUUGUAUUGGUUACAUUUGCAAAAAAAUUAUUGCUUAUUGGACUAAAUACAAUCGUUGUAGGGUUUCAAUUGUUCAGUGGUUCCACCGUAGGUCAAAAAUAAAAAAAUCCAUCUCUCGAUUUUUUGACAAAAUAUAGACCGAUGGCCUCUAAAUUGUUCAAACUUCUUAUUUUCAAACCGGGUUUUUCCAAAAAUCUAACGGUACUUUCUAAAAAUAGAGUUAAACGCAUGAACAACUGUAUUUUUUAAAGCACAUCAGACAUUUUUUUUUUAAUUCGCAGCAACAACGCACUUCAAAUUGUUCUGGUAAUUGUUCAGGUUAACGAAUCAAGAUUAUUUUUAAUGGCUUUUGAAGCUAAAGGAAUUUAUUUUAACUUGUGAAAUUAAUUAAAACUAACGUGAUUUUUAUUUUUUGUGAAAUUAGUGUUUUAUAUCACCUAUUUUUUUAACCUUUUUUCUGCGUCUUCAAUGUGUUUACAUAAAGUUUUUUUUGUGUUCCCCCGCGGUCCCCCGUUAGAUUUAUUUUACAUUGUCUUUACCAAAGUCUUAAGGUAAUAAAAGUGUUAAAGUUAGGUGCGGAAAUUUGCAAAUGUAGAAGUAAUCGUCAAAAUAAUAAUGGCCUUUGAAUUAACUAUUUUUAAGUUCAAACUCAUUAUAAUUGGACUAAAAAAGCUUGGAAAGAAGGAUAAACCAUCUUUAUUUCAAUCUAUGUACGGUUUACUAGAGGAUGCAUUAUAAGUUUUUGUUCUAAUUAUAAUGGCUGUUGAAAAUGAACUGUAUUAAAUUGGUUGAUAAUUUGCUUUUUUCCUACAUGACUUUUUUAAAUGAUAUGUGGGGGUUAGAUGGGGGAAACUAUAACGACAAAUCAUGUUCAGCUUGUUUAUCGCUUUCUUAAAUGUUUUUACAAAGCCUUACUGAAAGUUUUGACGCUCCGACCAUGACCAUGAGAAGUAUUUUUGCGCAUGAUUGCCAAUAAUGGCAAUUACAGUUCUAUGGGAGCUAUGGGAUCUAGUAGUCCGAUGGGGCCAAUUUUUUUACUAUAUAUUUAAAAUAAUUUUUUAGAUUUUUGGUGAAAAUUUUUUUUGUCAAAAAAACAAGAAUUUUCGAAAAAAAGAGGAAUUUAUGGAUGAAUUUAUAUAUGGUAUCUACAAUGUGGCAGCGCUCGUUUCCCGCAUAAUUGUAAACACAUAAAUCUUAGAGUGAAAAUUGAAUUUUAAAAUAAGUAAUUGCUGCUUAAAAAACUUUAAAUAAAUGUAAAAUUUGAAUUUUUUUGAAUGUUAGUAACAUAAUUUCAAAUAUUUGAAGUGAAAAAGUGCGUAAAAUGUGUUAUAAGUGUGUGAAAUUGCUUGUUGAAAUUUUUGAUUUUUUGGUCUUUAAAGCCGAAUAUAGUAGGCGUCUGCAGUACCUAUUACAUAUAUGUAUGUAUGUAUAUUGUGCCAAUAGUCAAUAAAAAUGGCGAAACCAUGGAAUAUAUAUUUCAAAAAUCAUACGGCGUGUUAAAGGUACGCAACCUAAUUAUGUCACGUAUGCGCAAAACUCUCGAAGGGAUAAGAUUAUGUGCUGCAAGCAAAUCCAGAAUUAUGGACGCAAACGCUGCUACAUCGAACAAAAAUCAUUUGCACACAAAAUAUUAGGUUGAAUGUCACAUUUUUUACGUGCAAUUAAACCAUUUGGUCAACGCAAGCGCUCGAAGAAUUGGAACGACAUGGUUUAGGUGCUUUUGUUUAUCAUCGUGACGUGUGUCAACUGGGUUUUGCCAAUGAGGUAGAGGGCAAAAUAGAUGCCGCACCAUUAUGAGCUAAAACAUAGAAAUGAGAGGGAGGACUGUUUUGAUUCAUUUUAACCUUGUAUUAAGGAAUCAUAUCGUUGUUUUAUCGCUUUACAAGGACGUGUAUUCACCGAAAUUAGUUCAAUGGGAAUACUAUAGCAAGAGCAUGGAUGAACGGUGCCCAUACUAGAUUUAGAAUUCCUGAAGUAUAAUCAUCAUUUAUCCUGUAAAAAUUACUUUAUAUUUUAUAGAAACUCUCCUCCCAAAAAUUGGAUGAAUCCGGUAGUAGUGAAAUUAAUGAAAAACCCAAUCCUAAAGAAAUCAAAUAAGUCCACACAUCAUGUGCGCUGCUUACACUUAUAUAUCGUGUAGUACCAUGAAUGAUUACUACAUAGUGACAGAAUUGUCAAAUGGAAAACGGAAAUGUGAAACAUAGUGAACCAAAUUGAGUAAUGUGCAGAUAAAAUAUCACAAUGAACGUGAUUCUUAAUUUCGUCAUCUAUAAAAUGAUCCAAUAUAAGAAAGAAUAUUUAUAAUUAAAAUUAUAUGUUUUCUUACAAAAAGUUCUCCAUUUUGCCAACUUUUUUGUUGGUUGGAAAAGUGAAAAAAAAAACUCUUUUUUGUAAUAUUGUUGUUUAAUUCCGCCAUUGCGGACUUCUUUUUCAAGUUAAUACAUUUUUCACUUAGAAUUUUAAAUAAUAAUUAGCACUAGUCUUGUCAAUUCGCCCUUAAGAAUCAGGUUUCAAAGCGGAUAUGAAAGUCCUCACAGAUAAAGACAGAAAGGAAAUUUGGGUUCUCUUAGGGGCCUGCUACACGUUCAGUAUUUAUCGUGAUAUUUCCUGUGUCGCAAUAUUUAUUGAACGUGUACCAUGCAAUAUUGUUGAAUCACGAUCUAUAUCACAAAAUAUUUAAAUAUUUUAAAAUCCAGAUAAUAGAUCGCGGAUCGCGUGAUAAAUAUUGAAGGUGUAGCAUAUUUUGUGAUUUACAAGUCCGAAUUGGUGAAAGACAAUAGUGCCAACAUUUUAAAAUCAACUAUAUUCUAAUAAAAUGAACAUGAAUUAUAAUAUUUUCAGUUGAAUCUUUGCCAGAGCUGUGCAACUCAUCUGCCAUCUGAUGCAUAUAAUGAAUUGCUGUGGGAGCAAAAACAAGAGCCAGGCAUGAUUUUCUUCGGUUUUCUUCCGACAUUUUAUAAAAAAUUGUACGAAAAAAUAAACAUAUACAUUUUUUAAAUAUUUUUUCUUGUGAAAACAGAACAAGCAUCGUAUAAAUAUUGACGUAAUAUAUAUUGAACGUCUAGCAUUCGCGAAGUCAAUAUUCAAUAUAGAUCGCGAUCCAAAUAUCACGAUAAAUAUUGAAGAUGUAGCAGGCCCCUUAAGCGAGAGACCUGAGUGGUACUAAUAACGGAUUCUGACAUAUUUUGUCUCUCAGAAUUCUUGAUGAUUGUACUUUCCAACGACAGAAUAAUUUACAACUGCAAGAGGCUCGAGAAUAGGGCAGAAAUUGUUGAAGGCAUCACUAUGGAUGCCUUUCAUAAGAGUUGCCUUCUAACAUCCUCAAAACCUAAAAACAAUAAUCCCUGGUGGUCAAAGAAACUUUCAUCAACUGGUUAACGAUGCCAGACACACUGUAGAUUGGAAUGAAUACAUGACUAGCCUUGCAACGUACUGCAGGGUAAUUAGGAAUGCCAAGAGAGACAACUUCAGGCGGUUUUGUCAUUCCUCAACUCCAGCGGCAGCCAGGCUACAUAAAGCUCUUAGGCGAACUCUACUAAAGACACUCGGUAGAUCAGCUGGCCCUAUUUGAAGGCCAUAAACCGAGCAUAUUUGGCUGGAAGGUGGCCAAGGAAAUGGGCCAUAUGUAGGUAACUUUAAUAGUUCCGACCGAUUCCCAAUUUUUGGCUGAUGCCGAUUAAUCAGCUACAUAGGCAAAAACGACCUAAAGGAAUACAUCGUCAUGAUAGAUAUGUACAUUCACAAAGUCAGUCAACUUUUUUGAGGUCUUACGUAUCAUUGUAUUACAUUAACAUUAAACAAUAACCUAUCGAACUCGAACUUCUAUAAUUCGAAGAUCUCCAUAACUCGAACUUUUGAAUUGGCAAUAGCAUUUGGAAAUCAAAUUUCAUACAAGUUUCCUUCCAUAAAUCGAACUUUUGGACCAGAGCAUAAUACAAAAUUAAAAAUUUUACUAUCGGCGCAGAAUUUUAAAAGAGUCCGUAUAUUCGUAUAGAGGCGAAUAAAAAUAUGAUAUUACACUUAUGGAUUUCACAAAUCAUGUAACAAAGGAAUGGGAUACAGACGUCAAGAGCGAAACAAUAGCAAAGUGCAACCAACAGAAAUACAAAUUACAGAAUACAUGUUUUAACGUAUGCUCAUAAAACUUUUAGCGUAGUAAAUAAAUAAAACUGUGUACACAUCUAAGUAUAUUUUAAAGCUUUUUAAAAAAUCGUAUUUUUUAAUGAAAAAUUCUAUAACUCGAAGUCUCUCUAAUUCGAAGUUUUUUUGUGGAAGUUCCACAGUAUAUAUAUAACCAUAACGCAACGACAGAGCAAGCCGCCGUGGAUCAAACCAUUUAGGUCUGUGUUCUUGAAAUUGUGUAGAAUCAUGUAAACUUUCGCAUGAGUUCCAGAUUUCACUUUCUAUACAAAUGGGCGGCCGAGCUAUUUAAUUCGCCAUUUGUGCAGUUGGAUUUGGUAAGGUGUAAGUCAUCAGUAUCUGAAACUUUGUUGCUAAAGCUAUUCCCUAGGGAACUUGUUCAUAUCCAUCACUGGAUAAGCAUUGUCCUUUCUUCUGAAGCUACGUGAAAUUCCACCUAGGUCCCAUCCGAACUCUGUAGCCACUGUGUGUAGUUUUCUCACUCGUGAUAAAUUAUUUGACACACAGUUAAGUUUCAUUCAAAGUAUUUGUUUUUCGUUUGAAAAUUUUUACUUUUGAAUAACAACAAACUUAUGGCAAAUAAGGGUAAAGAAAAAUUAAUGUCAUAUACUUAGUUCACUUUGUUGAAUACACUUUGGUUUCAUUCAAAUCCAUGAUUCAAUUUUUAAAGGUUUGGUAAGUAACGACUGCAAUGUUUUGACACUGUGAUAUUUUUUAUUUUUAUUUAUUUAGAAGAGAAAUAAUUAUAAAUAAUUACUCCACUCAUAUAUACAAAGCACAGGCUGCCAAGGCCUUCGGCUUGAAUAAUCAUAGAUCUAAAGUAUAAAAUUAAUACGAUUACAAUUCAAAUAGUUAAUAGUGUGUUAAGAAUUAAUAUAUAAAAUUACUUAAAAUUUAAAUAUUUAACUUGCUAGAUAUUAAGAAUUUUACAAAACGGUUAACGUUAUUAAGUAAGUCCGAGGAUUUCAUGUUGCCAAAAGUCAAAACUCUGAGCUGUUGUAGAGAUGAGCACCUGUCGAAGAUAUGGUUUAUUGUGAAAUCUCCCGAGCCACAUAAGGGGCAAUUAGGUUUGUUUGUAUCAUUCAAAAGGUGUCCAUGUGUGGCAAGUGUAUGCCCAAUCCUGAUGCGUACAAAUGUUUUUAUAUUCAAGCAGGUGUUGAUAUUUGAAUAAUGGGGUGUUUUCCCUAAUGGGUUUGCAAGUUUGUAAUGAUGGUUGUAGCUUAUCCAAACGUUUUGAAUACAGUCGGUGAUGUGUUGUUUGACAUACUACUUAAUAUCAUUCAUGGUAAAAUAAGCUGACGUAUGUAGUGGUUCUUUGCUUGCUGCUUUUGCACGUACAGUGGCUCACAGCCAAAAUGAUGCAGCAAUGAAAUGAAAAAUCGCUUAGUCAAAAAUCAUGUUUAUAUUUCGAAAUUAAAAACUUUUACUAAUUUAUUGAUUAGGUAUAUAUGUAUAUGUUUAAUUUUUUAAAUAAAAAAACGCAAGAAUUAUUUAUUUUUACUAGUGUUAAGUAAAAACAUGUUCGUAUACCGAAAUACAAGCUCACAGCCAAAAUGAUGCACAAAUGUUUACCGUUAGCGGCGACAGCUUGGCGCCGAUGUUCGACUGCAAAGUAAAUACUGUUAUAAAUGUGAGCUAUCCUGGAAUGAUAUUUAAAAGUUUUGACAUUUUUGUAUUGUCAUUUAAAAGUAUAUUUUAAAAUGGGCCGCCAAACCAGUAUUGAAGUGUGCGAGUUAAUUCUAAGUAUUAUAAAGACGGAAAAAGUCAACGCAAAGUCGCGUAAAUGGUGAAACUGAGUCAAGGAACUAUUCGGCAUAUUAUUUACCGGUUUCACAGUUCGUACUUAAGUUGUGCCCAAAUAAAAUCUUAGCUAAGCAUUGUUGUUGACUGAGUAGUCAUUUCACAGUCGAUGCUUAUUUUCUAUAAAAUUCUAUUAUGAUACAUGGCAGCACAAUGAAAAACAUUUCUUUACAAAUACCAUCUGACAAAUUGAAAUUAUUGUUGAUGAGAAUAACUUUGCGACGAAUAAAUUUAGAAUCUGGGAAUCGCAGGAAAGCAUAUAACCGUCAUUGAAUACAAGAAAUUCCAAAAAUUUUUUCACCAAAUAAUUUUAUUUUUUUGACAAAGAAGUCAAUAUUCAAAACAUAAAUCAGCUGUUACUUAAGCACUGCUUAAGUCUCCCAUUUUCAGUACUUAAGCAGAACUUAAGUAUGAACUGUAAAACGCAAUAUUUCUGUUUUAUCUUAAGCACAAACUAAGCACUGACUGUGAAACCGGGCAUUAAUGUUACGUUCUUGAAAAUCGUAUCACAAAUAAAAUAAAUCGACUCAUAAUAAAACAUUUAACGAAAUUGACACCCAUUGGAUUGCACGGAAAAUGUGAGAAAAUCCCCAUUUAAGUGCUCCAGCUUAAAUCAACGAAAUGGAAAAAUCCUUUGGAAGAACAGUCAUCCCACAUCCACAUAAGAAGAAUGCUCAGAGAAGCUGAUUUAAAUGGCCGCACAGACCGAAAUAAACCAUCAAUACUAAAACUCGAAGUGCAAUGUGGAAUGUUGCAAACAAACAGUUAAAUAAGACUGCAAGCUUCUGGAUUGUGCUAUGUGCAAGAGUGUGUAUCUGGACAUUUUGAAGCGAAAUUUGCUACAAAAUGCCGCGAGAUUAAAUACUUUUGAUAACUUUCGGUACUAUCAAGAUAAAGAUCCGAAGCACAAAUUCGGAGUUGGCUAAUUUGGAACUGUCCACAUAGUAUAAACACCUGCGCAAUCUUCAGAUUUGAGUAAAAUACAGAAUCUGUGGACAG